GACGAACGCUGGCGGCGUGCUUGACACAUGCAAGUCGAACGGAAAGACCCUGCUUUUGUGGGGUGCUCGAGUGGCGAACGGGUGAGUAACACGUGAGUAACCUGCCCUUGACUUUGGGAUAACUACAGGAAACUGGGGCUAAUACCGGAUAGGAGCUCCUGCUGCAUGGUGGGGGUUGGAAAGUUUCGGCGGUUGGGGAUGGACUCGCGGCUUAUCAGCUUGUUGGUGGGGUAGUGGCUUACCAAGGCUUUGACGGGUAGCCGGCCUGAGAGGGUGACCGGCCACAUUGGGACUGAGAUACGGCCCAGACUCCUACGGGAGGCAGCAGUGGGGAAUAUUGCACAAUGGGCGGAAGCCUGAUGCAGCAACGCCGCGUGCGGGAUGACGGCCUUCGGGUUGUAAACCGCUUUCGCCUGUGACGAAGCGUGAGUGACGGUAAUGGGUAAAGAAGCACCGGCUAACUACGUG
rnacentral:rRNA from 1 species